rnacentral:lncRNA from 1 species
CACAGCAAGGGUGGUAGGGCCUCAGGUGAGGUUCCCAAAGCAGCGAGAUACUGUUUGAGUCCAGAAAGACCAGGAGCUCAGAAGGUUCUUCUAUGGUUAUUUUGCCAAUGUUACAUUUGAAUUUCAACACAAGAGAAAGGUAUCAUCCUGGUCCUCUACUCAAAAACGUCAAAAUCGUAUCAAGUUCACAAAUCAGACAUGUUAGGGAAAUUGAAACGAGCCAAUCAGCUAACAGUUCCCUUUUCAAUCCUCUUCACUUCUUUGGAAGACUCUAUAAAGUCUUGCCUCUCAAAAUCAGCAGCAAAGCUGUAGUUUCACAUGGAAUUUCGCUCUUGUUGCCC